AUUGAACGCUGGCGGCAUGCUUUACACAUGCAAGUCGAACGGUAACAGGCCUUCGGGUGCUGACGAGUGGCGAACGGGUGAGUAAUGCAUCGGAACGUGCCUAGAGGUGGGGGAUAACGCAGCGAAAGCUGUGCUAAUACCGCAUGUGAUCUGAGGAUGAAAGCGGGGGACCAGGCAGCAAUGUUUGGCCUCGCGCCUUUGGAGCGGCCGAUGUCAGAUUAGGUAGUUGGUGGGGUAAAGGCCUACCAAGCCGACGAUCUGUAGCUGGUCUGAGAGGACGACCAGCCACACUGGGACUGAGACACGGCCCAGACGCCUACGGGAGGCAGCAGUGGGGAAUGGUGGGCAAUGGGCGCAAGCCUGAUACAGCAAUGCCGCGUGCGGGAAGAAGGCGUUCGGGUUGUAAACCGGUUUUGUACGGAACGAAAAGGCUCUGGCUAAUACCUGGGGCUGAUGACGGUACCGUAAGAAGAAGCACCGGCUAACUACGUG
rnacentral:rRNA from 1 species